GCACCAGUGGCGGAAUCGGUAGACGCGCACGCUUGAGGGCGUGUGUCGCAAGACGUGUAAGUUCAAAUCUUAUCUGGUGCACCA
rnacentral:tRNA from 1 species